GACAGAGGGUGCAAACGUUGUUCGGAUUUACUGGGCGUAAAGCGCGUGUAGGCGGCUUUGCAAGUCGGAUGUGAAAUUCCACGGCUCAACCGUGGAAGUGCAUCCGAAACUGCAUCGCUGGAGUCUCGGAGAGGAAGGUGGAAUGCUUGGUGUAGAGGUGAAAUUCGUAGAUAUCAAGCAGAACACCUGCGGCGAAGGCGGCCUUCUGGACGAUGACUGACGCUGAGACGCGAAAGCGUGGGGAGCAAACAGG
rnacentral:rRNA from 1 species